UACGUAGGGUGCAAGCGUUGUCCGGAAUUAUUGGGCGUAAAGAGCUCGUAGGCGGUGUGUCACGUCGGCCGUGAAAACCUGCAGCUUAACUGUGGGCGUGCGGUCGAUACGGGCAUCACUGGAGUUCGGCAGGGGAGACUGGAAUUCCUGGUGUAGCGGUGAAAUGCGUAGAUAUCGGGAAGAACACCAAAGGCGAAAGCACUCUGCUGGGCCGAAACUGACACUGAUAGACGAAAGCUAGGGGAGCAAACGGG
rnacentral:rRNA from 1 species